CUUCAGGUGCCUCUCGCGUGCGUCGUCCCGUCCCCUCUACACCGCCGCCGCCUCGCUCUCCCGCUCCCCAUAUCGUUGCCGUCUCGCUAUCCUCUCCAGCGGAUCCAGGUACCCAGAGGAGAGGGACGCAAGCCGCUGCCGCGACACUUCUCCCCCUUCAUCUCCAUGCCACCACCGCCUCCCUCUUCCUCGCCCUCCACUCCUCUUGGUGAGGUGCCAGAUCUUGUUCGAGGGUCGUUGGAAUCGAUGGUAUCGGUCUCCCCAACGGUGGAUCCGGUCACCCGGAGCGACGGACCCAAGCGGUUGCCACCGCCCUCUUCUCCUCUCCCGCUCUGCCCUCUUCCUCUUGCCCUCUGCACCUCUAAGUGCCAGGACUAGCUCAAGGGCUGCCGGCGUUGGGAGUGUAGGGUGGGCAAGGCUGAGAAAAAGAAGGAUGGAUAGCGGUGGUUGCUGGCUUCAUGGAUGUGCCCGGUUGGUUCCAAUCUCCUCUUCCCCCCUAGGUUUCUUCGUGUUGUCGCCUAUAUCUUGCUUCUUCCUAGAGUUCAAUCGAUCUGGUGUGGUGGUUGCUCUAUUGUAUAUUUGUAUUGUCUAACUCAACAGAUUUGGAGGGCCUCUUUUGAGCUCAAAAUAAUGUUCAUGCGGUCUAAUCAAUUUGUCAAGGGGUAUAUAUGUUUACUCUAGAAGAUCAUGAGAGGUUGCAAAGACCGGACAAGAUUAUCAAGCCGACGAUGGGGUAUGCCAUCUGCAAUGCUAUGGAUAAUUUCUCCGUGCUCUUAUCCUGAGAAGAUCCUCUCAUCCUGUGUGGGACAAGAACAACAUGUUCUUCAAAUUUAUGAACAUGGCAUUUUUUAGGGUAUGCAUAACAUGCACAUCACAACUAAAUUAUUUUUCCCUAUUUCUUUCAAACAGUAUUCACGGAUUGAUGGUUAGUUUAAACAGGUGCAUCAUUCUUUGCUUUUCCCAGUGUUGUAAUCAGGCAAAUAAGGAAGAAGAGUUAGUUUUCCUAAUUUUCUUUUGGUUAUGUCUGCAGAGACAAGUUCAGAUCACAUAAUACACAUAAUGGAGCUAUGUUUCAGGUUCUGGAAGAGAUGCACCCUUACUUGCUGGACCCUGGUCUACAAACGAUUAGGCUUGAACAGCACAGAUCACUCUGUUGUUCCUCUUUCCAUAUCCAACUAUACAGAAGAAGGUAAGUAUUCACUUUACUCUUUGGUAGUCAAAGCCAACGUCAAGCAUCAAAGUUAUUUGAUACCAAUGUUUGAAAAUAGCUUUCUGAACAUAUAGAAUUAGCAAUGUUUUGUUUUUUAUUAGCAAAAUGACACUAACAAAUAGUUACCAAAAGAACCCACCUAAUAAGUACAUUAGCUGUAGAAUUCUCUGUUUGGUCUAUCUGUUUCUAUUUCAUAGUUAAAUUGCAGAAUCAGGAUCCAAAAACUAUGUUUGCAUAGAAACAGGCAGUGCAGCGCAAUGGACUUUAUCACUGACAAAGUGACAAUUCGAUGGAGGUAAAACAUGUUAAAGUUCUUACUGUGAUGUUCUUUUCGAUUCUUAAAUUACUUGAAUGCUGAUCGAUAUGUAUUUAUGCACUAGAUUGGAAAUAGAAUAUUCUUAAAAAGCUGGAAAACCUUAAACACAAAUGUGGCUCUUCCUACAGUUGUAAGCUGUGAUCCAACUUGCAAAGUUGGAUGUUUUGAGCUAGGAAGUGAAUUCUUGAUGGUCCAUGUGGAUGUUCCAUAGGUGAGAUUUAAAGAAUUGAUUAGGCCAUACAAAAACUACAAAAUCGUUGGUUAUGUCAUAGGACUUGAAUUGCGUGGCCUUCAAUUAUGGUAAGCUGUUAUUUCUUUAGUUCUUACUUUAGAGAUGUGAUCUUUUUUUUCCUCCUGACGGUGCAUCAGUGGUUCUGUUUUUUUUUUCUUUUAUAGUUUGAUAGAUAAGUGGGGUAAGAUGAUGACUUCAAGGUAGAGAAUGGUGGCAACUGUAGAUGUUGUAUGUAUAUAGUUUAGAUCCUAUUUUCUUUGCGUAUGAUGUUCUGAACAACGUUUUUAGUACAUGAAUUAUGAGGAUGAUUAUCUAUGUAAUAAAAAAAUUCUUUGUACAAUUGGUUAUUAUGAUUGAUUGGUCUUUUCUAAUUUGUGCAUGCUUUGAUUUUGUGGGUCCCUAACAAAACAUAAUAUUGGGCAAAAGCCAGCUGGAGCAUGUCAAGACCAUCCCGGCCCUCGGCUGCCUUCAUCUCAGACUGACUGGUAUGUUCAUUUCUUGUUUUCGCUGUUUGUGGGUUGAUUUCCAUUGAGAAAAAUGAUAACUUAGUAUGAUUUCCCUUCAUCUGGACAUGCUUGGAGAUUUGCUUCACUAUGUUCUUCAUGCCAUGCCUGUAAAGCAGAGGAUCUAAAUAAAUGAUGAUUGAUCUGUGUGGUUGUUGAUGCCUUGAUCCUAGCUACUGCUUCUUUUAUUAGUUGUACCCAAAUGACCUAUGCUUUCAGGUCAGUAUAUAUCUGCAGUCAAAUGGAAUAUAUGACUAGCGCAUAACUCUUGUUUUGUUAAUUCACAAGAAGAGCUCAUGUAACUUGUUCUGUUGUUGCUUUACUAAUCUGUUUGUACCAAUUAUUCCAUAUCAGCAUUUGCUGAACUUUGCUUAUUUAUAUCCUUGUGUAGAAAGCACGAAUUGUUUCCAUAAGUGAAAGGAAAGAAUUUGAUCUAGACACAAGCUCUUGUUGCUGAAUGACAAAUUGGGACCUACUGACAAUCCUUUUGUCAAGUACUUAUGUUACUCAUGUAUCUGGACAUGGUUGGUUCUUCAGUUUCUGGAAACUUGAUCCUCACCUUUCCACCUCUAGCCCUUUCUUUCUAUCUCCAUCAUUUUCAUUUGUUAGAUCAACUGGAUUAAGGUAGACAGUUGAAAUAGUGAAGCAGUGGUGGUUCACGAAAACUGAAAAGUUGUGGGUGAUGGAGGAAGCACAGCAUGCCACACAGGGAUCUCUAUCUCUCUCUAGAGUUUAAUUGAUUCAUCUUUAUUCUAGACUUCAAUUUUCUUAAAGAUUAAAGAGUGGUGCUACCAUUUAUCUAUAAACUAGGUGUUUUCUGAUUUUGUUUGUUUAUUUUUGAGUUGAAUAUAUUGAUUGGUCUGCUGUCCUUUAGGUACAUAUAUAAAUGAAGGCUUUCUGAAGAUAUACUUGACUUUCUGCAGUAGUGCUUAUGUCAGUUUUCAUAAUGAUUUGAGCCAUUAUCGAAUUUGAUCUUUUGAUAAUUUGGUUGGUUCAGCGCUAGCACCAAUUGCUGCUGAAGGGUGAUGCUGAUUUAAGAGGCAAGGCAAAAAUAUCAGUCAUUUGCAUCAUACUGAAGCUUUCCGUCAAAUAUAGGAAGCUUUAAACCUUGAAAAACUUAAAUCACAUGCUUAUAUUCAAUGCAAUUUAGAUUGGUCAAAACCAAAUAAAUUUACUAAAAUUUCCCCUGCUUUUGUUGAGGAGAAUGUACCUUGAUUCAUGUGACGCUGCUGACAAGCUUCAAUUAGCUACUGGUGAACUCAAGAUCACAAGCUACAAUGUGGUCUCAAGAUGUGGUCGAUAGGAGAAAAUUCAAACCCAAUCCAUCUGAUUCUUGUUUUGUAUAAUUCAACUCAGUAUCCCAGAUGAUAUGUUAGAUUGACAAUGGAUAGGCAUUUUGUAAGAUUAUACUGCACAUGCAAAAAUAUAUCAUCCCUAUUUAUGGAUGAAAUCUAUUAUUGAUAUUCGUUUUCCAAUAA